rnacentral:sRNA from 1 species
GUUUGCACUCAUCGGGGAAGGGUGAGAACCUUCGACUAAGGUUCGAUUCGAGCGAAAGCGAGAGAACGUUGCCACAGGCAACGGCCCGAAGGGUGAGGAGCGAAGCGACGAAUAAUACUUCCCCCACCACCA